UACGUAGGGGGCAAGCGUUGUCCGGAUUUAUUGGGCGUAAAGCGCUCGCAGGUGGUUCGUUGCGUCGUGCGUGAAAGACCCCGGCUCAACUGGGGAGGGUCGUGCGAUACGGGCGGACUGGAGGCCAGUAGGGGGAUGCGGAAUUCCGGGUGUAGUGGUGGAAUGCGUAGAGAUCCGGAGGAACACCAGCGGCGAAGGCGGCAUCCUGGACUGGUCCUGACGCUGAGGCGCGAAAGCUAGGGGAGCAAACGGG
rnacentral:rRNA from 1 species